rnacentral:piRNA from 1 species
CAACUUGAGUUGGAUUCCCAAGACCCACA